UACGGGGGGAGCAAGCGUUGUUCGGAUUUACUGGGCGUAAAGGGCGCGUAGGCGGCCACCGCAAGUCGACUGUGAAAUCUCCGGGCUUAACCCGGAAAGGUCAGCCGAUACUGCGGGGCUAGAGUGCAGAAGGGGCAACUGGAAUUCUCGGUGUAGCGGUGAAAUGCGUAGAUAUCGGGAGGAACACCGGUGGCGAAGGCGGCGACCUGGGUAGAUACUGACGCUGAGGUGCGAAAGCGUGGGGAGCAAACAGG
rnacentral:rRNA from 1 species